GCGACACUAGCUCAGUCGGUAGAGCGCAACCUUGCCAAGGUUGAGGUCACGAGUUCGAACCUCGUGUGUCGCUCCA
rnacentral:tRNA from 1 species